rnacentral:lncRNA from 1 species
AUGAAAACCAACGGAGUCAGAGUCAGAAUAUCAUUGCUUUGUUGGAGGAUCCGUAAGAGGAUCAGUCAUAUCAUUUCUUUCACUAGAUUCACAUCUCUACGUAGUAGUAACUCGAUAGGCUCGAUAGAUAGUUACGGGGGUGACACACAGUGAUUACCCCGCCUCCAAUAGUCUAGUUAUUUCACAGUCACCAAAUCCGAGGAAAUACGCCUUUGUUUAGAAUCCCUGAUAACGCUUGUACCGCGGAUUUACAAUCGAAGGGGUGUCUCCGUAGUCCGUUAUCUGUCUACCAGCCGUCUACCAGCAAGUACAUCCCACUCUAGUCUCGUACUCGAUCACACUUUCGCCAGUUAAGUAGAUAGCAUUUCGGACAUGUAUCAAAAUUAUUCAGUGAUUCACCGGACUGCAGCUGUCACGAGUCGCGGAUGAUCCCGUCACAUCACUGAUUUUCACUAUUGGCGGUUACGACAGUCCUAUCAGGUUAUUUUGUCUGAUUAAUUUGAUUUAUGGUUAUCGAUUCACAGGUUGACAUUUCCCGACGCGUCCCGUCACGUUUCUGUCGCUCUCGGAUUGGGUCUUGUUCGAUAAGGAAAAAUGUCAUUUGAUCGAUCUCCGACGAUUAGUAUCUUGACUACGUAGUCAGUGGACGAUUCCACGGAGUUAUCAAUGGUUAUCUACGUAGUACAUAUUAUGGUAUUAUGUACGUUAUACUCUGAGUAUAGAGUAUCAGACUACGAUUGUGCAACCACCAUCUCCGGGCGCUUACACGGCGUGAUGUGCCUCUGUCUCGGUGGCCAGUCACAUCCGCCACAGUCAGUCACGGUCAAUGAUUGAUUCGAUUCGAUUUAUUUGUCAGUAUGUAUGUGAACAGACGGGAUGAUUCGAAAUUCAAAAGAUAGCUGCUCGCAUAUUGCCUAGAAUCAAAAGAUUAAAGAUUCAUUCAUAUACUCCGUGGCUCAUAUAGUUUCCUAAAAUGGAAAGUCGACUACGUCUCUUCACACUCGGUACACUCCGUACCGUCGCGAUAAGACUGGUCUGUCGGUCGACCUUUCUGCUUGUGAUAGUUGUGACUCAUGGUAGCAGCGACAACAUGAAUUAGUUAGUUACGCUCGGUUUACCAAAGAACAGGGCGGUCGCAUCACAUCGCAUCGUGUUGGGCCACCACACACACACACACACACACACACACACACACACAGCCCAGGCAGGUUUUCAACCAAACAACAAGGACGACGAAUAUCGAGAUGUCUUGACGUGGCUCAGAGUCAAAGUCAAGACUCAGACUCGGCUUCACCGCCAGGAUGUUUUGAUAGGGAUCAAGGAUUAGGGUUAUCGGGCAGCCCGUCAUGUCAUACUUGCUGCAUGCAAGUACGUAUUUCAGGCAUCCAUCGCUAUCUUUACGUAACUUCGAUCUUGAUUAAGUGUGAUGAUUCAUCGAUGGAUAGUUAACGAUCACAAGACAGCAACAAUAACGACAGUAACAUCAACAACAACAACAACAACAACAACAACAACAACAACAACAACAACAACCGCGGUCGGCGCCUCGUAUUUUGCAUGUGCUGGGUUGUGCCUUGUUUGUAGCGUGUGUUGUCAACUCAUCAGCUUCGUAUCGGAUACUAUCUGUCUCGACGCGAAAGUAUGACUGAUAUCCGGCGCACCCGUUGCAUUUCUGACUGUCGCGAACCAAACUCUCACCGAUCAACUUGAUUUUGUUGAGUCACCUUCUUUCCUCUUAGUUAACUAGUUAAGUCAGAUUAACCGUCAGACCGUCGGCAAAAUACAUACGAAGUUUUACAACUAUCCGAGCUGAGCAUUGCCGACAUUACUACGGUCGGUAGACGAUGUAUCGAGUUCCUCGAUUCAAAGGAACGAUUACGCGCGUAAGACUGGGGAUAGUAAUAACUACUGUCCGAAAUAUCGCUUGUUCAUUGUGAUGUAAACUACUACGUACGUAUUUUGUGGCUGUCGUGGAGUGUCGGGAUUCCGUGCGGUAUUGGCGAUUACAUACGCUGAAACGGCGUUACGCAAUGCUAAUUUACAACAAAAUUACGAAUUUAUCCAGGUUCACACUCUUCGUUUGUAUAUACGGGGCGGCACGGGAAAACUUCCGUGCAACCCCGUCAAGGUUUCAUAGUCCUUUUGUACAAACAGAGUAUCCAGGUUCUGAUAGACCGGUUGAUAGUUGGUUACUUGGCCUUUUCUUAGUGCCUCGUUUCCACUUUGAUGAAUCAUUCAUUUUUGCCUUUUGGACAUCUGUCCUGGGUUUCCUCAAAAGAUUGGGUGUGGGUUAUUAAAUCCACAAACGACACUUAGCCGACGGCUACUGCUUUCCACUCAGAGUUCGUGGGGGGGAAGUUGUCAACUACCGUGGUCGAAAGCGUAUCAUACUAUUUUUACCCCAUGUUCCGAGGCAGCGACAGAGGUAUAUUAGAUAGGGAUCCCCCACGUUCUGUGGGUCGCACAGUCAUUGCCGCAUGAGGGAUCUACGUAGGUGCUGUAACUUAGCUAUGUAUAUGUAACUACAUACUCUGUAGUAUAUCAAAAUGAUUCGUCUCAAUCGCAUCAAUACUCAAAUGAUCAAAUCCACAUAAACUUUUGUAGCGGUGAGCUUCGACGUUCAACAAACUCUCAAGGGAAUUACGGAAUAGAUUCAACAAACAUGGGAUCCACCUCCGCAUUUUUCAACAUUCCGGAGAGGCGAAACUCUACUCCAAAAAAUAAGAGGUCUAGACGGUGGAGAUGGAUGUACUCAUAGAGAAAGAGAAGAAAAAUUUGCCUCCUCCACACGGAAAAUACCCUUUUACUUCACCGGAAAAAAAAAUGUCAAAGUCGCCUCCUUGCCAGAUGGGGAAAUGGACCGAUUUCUUCAUUAGUUGUCCAAUUUUGCCAUCUACAUGCUGACUGUUUGGUUCAAUGUGGAGGGGAAGAUCGGGGAGCUUUCCUUUCGGAGGUACUGGGUUCUUCUGUUUGUAUUGUUUGCGCGUCUACGACUCAUGUAUAUCAAUGUGUAUUUGUUGGGGAUAGAAUGCCUAGAGUCGAUGAUGUAUUUGAUCUUUGGGUUUUGUGUAAAACUUUGAAGUGAGAUGUUCCAGGGUUGAUGGGGUGGGUUACGCGUCCUCGCGUUGACCGCGUAGUCAGGAAAGCAGCCUUGGGAAUGCAGCGCGAAGUCAACAUGUCUACAAGACUCGCUUACGAAAUGCCAUUAUGGUAAUAACAUAGUUAUAAGUUACUACGGAGUAUGUAGCGGAAGAGAAACAUUGAAGCAUCGAAAUCCGGGGUAGCACGUGGGGCUGUAAACCCUAAGUCUAUUCAACCCUUGAAGGAUUCAGUCA